AUUGAACGCUGGCGGCAUGCUUUACACAUGCAAGUCGAACGGUAACAGGUUAAGCUGACGAGUGGCGAGCGGGUGAGUAAUGCAUCGGAACGUGCCCGAUCGUGGGGCAUAACGCAGCGAAAGCUGCGCUAAUACCGCAUACGAUCUGAGGAUGAAAGCGGGGGACCGCAAGGCCUCGCGCGAUGUGGUCCGCAGGUGUAAGCUUAGGUAGUUGGUGGGGUAAAGGCUCACCAAGCAAACUAUAUGUAGCUGGUCUGAGAGGACGACCAGCCACACUGGGACUGAGAGACGUCCCAGACUCCUACGGGAGGAAGCAGUAGGGAAUUUUGGACAAUGGGCGAAAGCCUGAUACGGCAAUGCCGCGUGCAGGAAGAAGGCCUUCGGGUUGUAAUCUGCUUUUGUACGGAGAGAAAAGGCUCUCUCUAAUACAGGGGGCUCAUGACGGUACCGUAAGAAUAAGCACCGGCUAACUACGUGCCAGCAGCCGCCGUAA
rnacentral:rRNA from 1 species